UGUGUGUGUGUGUGUGUGUAUGUGUGCUCCACUUAACUAUGCUUUUCUUCCUCAAUGCCUUCCAUUGGCUCCCCUGCCGUUAGAGUUGGCUCUCAUAAAAGCUUCGCAUAGUUUAAAGAGUGGGCUCAGAGGCUGGAGUCGUCCUGCUCUCGUGUGCUCACACUUAACUACACACAAACGCACACGCACCAUGAUGACCAGCAGUGUGUAUGUGUGUGUGUACCCUUGCACAGACAAAAAGGGCCUGUUUUCCACAGUAAUAAGACCAAAUUCAUAAGGGUAAACCUAAAUGUGGUUGGGCUGGAAACACAAUUCCCUUUGCCCUAAUGCACCAUAACCACACGACACACACAACAUUCUUAUACCUCUGUGUGUGUAGAUGCUAUAUCCAUAAGACACAAUUCUGGUUUUGUGUGCAGGGACGUUUUCAACUCCCUGAACUUUCCUUCUUGCAUGAACUCGUUUCCGACUUCCAUGGUAACUUUUCACGUAGAAAAAAACACUGGGUUAAUCGAUCUUAGCUGUACAUCAGUGUAAAAAUCAUCCAUGCAUGCGUUUCAGCUGUAUGUAGGCUUUGCAAUUUGUAUUUAUAGAUUCUAAUGUAUAAUACUCAAAUGACAUAUUAAGAUGGUUUUAAGAUGGAUCUAUCGUAGAUAUGUAAAUCACUGUUUCUAUUGUAACGAUUUGGGUAACUUGCACAACAUUAGAAAUGACUCGUGCUGAACUUGACUGUGCUCUACUUGAGUUUUUAUUUUAUUUUUAGACUUAAAUCCCCCCCCCUCUGAUAUCUACUGUAGGCCGAUCACUGACCCAUUUCCUUUCUGAUGAAGUAGUCCUUUGCCACAAGGACAACAGACUUAACACUUUGAUUCAUUGGUAAUCCUGCAAUACAACAGUGCUCUACUGUUUUCUUAUUGCCUCGGUGUUACUAUUAUUAUCAUCAUGUAUCUUUAUCAACUGCUGUAAAACUGUGAUCUAACGUGAGGGGACUUGCACCUCAGCGACACACCUGGUCGAAGAACAAUAUUAACCAUAUGUAUAAAGGCGAUCAUUAUUGAUGACUAAUGAUGGUUGUACAUGCAUUACUGAGGUUGUGGUUUCAGGUAAAUAAAACAAUAUAGUAUUUGGA